GUAUGCACCUGAAAUCACGCGGGAGACCGGGGUUUA
rnacentral:sRNA from 1 species